rnacentral:tRNA from 1 species
GCCACGGUGGUCUAGCUGUUAGAACGCUGGCCUUGUAAUCCUGGGGUCUCGGGUUCGAUUCCCGGCGUUGCC